rnacentral:lncRNA from 1 species
UUCUAAAUCAACUCCAGAGUAGUAGUAUUUUUUUUUCCAAUUCGAUUUGAACACAAUGCACUUCUAGGUUAUCAUUUUAAAUAAAACCAUUAAUCUAAAACCCAUUUAUUAUGUCACCAUUCCUCAUCCUUCAACUCCGAUUAUCUAGGCUUGGGAAUGAUAGUUUCUAACAAGUGUAUGACUCAAUUAUGAUGCAAAAGAGUUAGACUGAAAAUAUAUGUUCUUAUAAUGAAAAGAAUGCCAUUGUAUCAUCCCCUAAGAGCCAUAAAUCACAAAAUAAAUAUAAUUGAACCCAAAUAUAAAUAUAUGCCUUUAAUAAGAAUAUUAUGUUCCCACAAUAAAAAAAGAGGCUCAAAGUGUAUGAAUAAGUCUCCACUCUUUUAUGUCAAGAUUUUAUGAAUACAUAGUAGUUAUGUUUUUAAUAAGAAUAUUAUGUUCCCACAACAAAAGGAGAGGCUCAAAGUGUAUGAAUAGGUAAUUAAGUCUCCACUCUUUUAUGUCAAGAUGUUAUGAAUACAUAGUAGUUCAACUUUGUUCAUUUGGCUUAUGCUAAAGUUAUGUAAAAAAUGGCCCAUUAUACAAAUCUAAUAUCACUUAAGUAAUAAACUGGAUUUUUAUAAUUCACAUGAGUAUGUUUAGAGUCAAAUAUAUCUUUAAACUAUUGAUUAAAUCAAAUUUUACCAAAAAUUUCAAAAAAUUGGAUUUUUUUUACUUAAAUAAAAAAAUGCUAUCAAAAACUAACCCUUACCCCUCAACUUGAAUUGUGCAGUGUCCUCAAUGAAAAAUAAUAACAAUUAUCAAAAUAAAAGGGAAUGAAGUCACCUAUGAGCAUAACAUCUUAUCAACUAGUGCAGCUGCCUGCACCUCUAGUGCUCUACGGACUUAGCCGAUCGGUCUAGCAUUGGUCCAAUCGGUCGGGCAUAAGGCAAUUCAUGCCUUUUGUCUUCUGGUCCUUCCUGGACCGAUAGAGAAAUGCCUAGACCUGUCCAGGCAUGGUGGUUUAGAUUUUGAUAAAUUUCUUUUUAACACUUUUCCACCCUGCAAAAUACUUAAUUCUACUUGUGCUACAAAAGAUAUAAAAUGAACAAUUUUAUGCGCAAUAGAUCUAUGAUUUGCAUCAUACCUCUGUCUAAUCACCUGGACUGCUUGCAAUAUUAAUUUUCUAAAACGGAUGUUAAAACAAAUACCAAAAAGGUGCAAUUUAAUAAGCGAGCAUUGAAAUAAAGCAGAAAUAGAAAAAAUAAACUAUAUGUAAGAAAACUAACAUCAAAUCAUCGGGUGAUUUUUCAAUGUUAGAAACACCAUCAUCCAGUUGGAUAAUGAUGCACAAAAGAUCCCAGCUUAGAUUAUUUGAACAAAAUUAUAUUCGACCAUACCAUGUGAUCAAAUACUUGGAAUAUUUUUUAUUUUUUCUGCACCUUAAGUAUCUUUAUUUCACCACUAUUUCAUUUUUAAUUGGUGUAGUUUUGAGUUUGUUGACUAGUUGGACAAAAUAAUGAUCCACAACCCAAUUAAAAUUUUCAACACUAAAAAAAUCGAUUAGCUCUACAUCAAUGAAAGACUUAGUUGGACUAAGAUUAGGCAACUCAACUUCAUCCAUACAUUAAGUUGUUUAAGUGGUGCGAUCAGUUCUUGUGUCAGAUUUUCGUGGUCCUCAUUGAUAUGUUCAACCUCAAAACUAUUGGGUUUGUUUUGUGUUUCCCACAACUCACUGUUAUAUUCCUUACUAUAGGUCUCUACCUCCCAUACUUGUUCCUAUCGGCCUUGAGUCAAUGACUCUUGCUCCUCUUGUCCAUUAAACAUGUGAACUAGAUGAUCCACUUGGAUUCCUAGUUCAACAAUUGAUUGACAAUUGGACGCGAGUUCUUGAACACUAGCCUCAUAAUCUUGUAACGUUUGCAACAUACUAUCCUCAAAAUCUAGAUUUUCUUGAGGUAGCGGAGGAUAGUAAUGUUAGUAGGGCUGUUUAGGAGGGCCAAUGUAAUGGGAAUGAAUAUAGGACAUAUUAGUGUCCUCCAUCCAUAGUUUUUGGGUCCAAGAAGAGUUUGAGUGAGUUUUCCACUCAUUGUUGUGAGUGUACGAGUAUGAAUUGUUACUACUAGAAUUCAAGCAUCCUUGGGUAGUGUUGAUAAAUUUUUGCACAAACUUAGGAAACUCACGAGCCUGAGGACAUUCAGUCACAAGGUGGUUGUGACUAGAACAUAUAAGGCAUGACUCUUUGUAAAAAACUUUCUUAUGGUUGGGUUGGGGACACGAUGUUCGUUGGCUUUGAAGAACAUCUGCAAAGUGUCCUUUAGACUCUAUUUUUGAGGAGGCUGGUACACAUCUGGAAUUAGGGGAUAAUAAUGACCUUGUGGACUAUAGAUUUCUAAAAAAUUUUGUUGUCCAUAAGGCCCUUGCCCUAUUGAGGUCAUAUGUUGGUGGGAUUCAGUGUACAAUAAUUCCUUAGACCACGGUGGUGGAGGUGAAUAUGUAGAAGCAUUAUAUCUAUCCCAUUCAUGAUUGGACUGUGGUACGUCAAAAUUAAAAUCAAAAGGCAUCAUUUUUCCCCCAAAAGUAACUAAAAAACAACACUUACAAUCCUUGUGAUGAAAUCACAAGGACUCAGCUUGGCAUUUAAGCUCCCCAGCAAAGAUGCCAUAAAUGCUUGUCACUUUACCGUGUUUAUUUUAUUUAUCUAAUUCAGUUCCCAAGCGUAGAAAUUUAGUUAAUUCAGCAUAAUACUCGAAAGUCCCGAUGUCAUUUUUUCACAAAGAACUUGUAUGCAAGAUUGAGUUUUGUUGUAAUUAAAGAAAGUGUAAAAUUAUGAUUUUUUUCUUCUUUUUGUAAAUAGUGUGAAUAAAAAUGUAACCUACAAAUGUAAAAUAGCAAGGUUCAAAUCCUUAGUCGUCUCCUAGUUUAAAUGUGUCAAUUCAUUUUUUCUUUUACAAACUCAAUCAAUUGUCAAGGUAUAAUGAUGAUGGUUGAAAGAUUUUUCAGUGAAAAUAUUGUUUUACGUGUAAAGAUGUGUUUAUAAAAUAAAAAAUGAAUUUGGAUAAUGUUUCAAAUACCUAGAAUGCAAGUGAUCUAAGUAUUAUUUGUACCAAGUAUUCUUGUUAAAAAAUAAUCAAGAAUGGGUAUAAUUUCAAGUUUUGAUCUUAAAAACUACCAUAAAUCAUUCAUAAAUAUCAUUAAAAUUAUUUUGAAAUAGAAAAGAAAUUAGUUCAUCGAAGGGUUGAAAGAUUACGUAGUCCUUGAACCGAGCCUAAAGAUCUAGUCUUCUGUGUUUAUAGAAGGCUCAAUCUUUAGUGCAAAAUAAUUUAAUAAAACAAAAAGAACUAAACACAUUUAAGAAAAAAGCUGAAAAUAAAAUAGCAUGGAAUAAAUGAAAAUUACAAAAUUACAAUAAAGAGAACUUACAAACUUUUAUCAAAAAGUAAAAUCCGAAAAUUACAGCACUAGAACUUGAACUAUUCUAAUCUAAUCUACAACUAAAAAUAUAAAGUGUAAAAACUAAAACUGAAAGCUAAAAUUAACAGAGAGCUCAUAAAUAAAAACUUGGUUCUUUAUGAGUUUUUCUAUUUGCCAUGAAAUUUACAGUGAAGACAACCAUGAAUGACUUCAUGGCCCCACUUCUCCCCACUUCUCCACAUUUCACAAAACAAACAAGCGGGAAUUGAAAAAAAGAAUUUGGGCAGAAAUUUUGAACCCCAAUCCCUCCAUCCUCCCACCAAACAGUGGUCCCUCCAUCUUUCCACUGCAUUCUUCUCCCUCCCUCUAAUCACCAACCACCACCACCCUCACCGAACUACCCACCACUUGGCCCCCCCACACGCCAAGUGGUUCCAAGGAUUUUAGUAGUACUCCUUGUAAAUUCAAUUCUCUCUCCUCUAUGGGUAUGUUUCAUCUUUUUUUUUUUGUGAAAAUGUAUGUUCCUACCAUUAGCACUAAACAGGAGUUUUUUCACUCUUUUAGAUGUCUUGGAAUAAAUCCCAGUGAAUGUCCACUGCUGACUGAUAUCACAAAGUGGUGCUUCAAAGUGGGGAUUAAAAAUUAAGGCUUAACGGUGGGAUUAAAAAAUUAGGGGAUGAAAAAUAGAAUUAAAAUUUUUUAAUUUCUAGAAACCUUGAUUCUUUGUGUUUUUAAAUCUUAUAUUUCUUAUUUUUGUAGAAUCAUGAAUAAAGAUAUGGAAUUUGGAGAGAAUAUGAAUGUGGGGCGGUAUUGGAACCUCAAGUCGGAACAAUAUUCAUUUCAAAAAUGAAGCCAAGGAAUAUUAUAGUACUUAUGCAAAAGCAAAAGGUUUUGGUUCGGUCGUCAAAGCAUUUAAGAAGCUUGACUAUGGGGUAAGGCAUACAUAACUUAGCUUCAUCGCAGUGGAAAGCCCAGGACAACGCUUUGAAGCCGUUAUCCCAUCCAACAUCAAAGUAGAUUGUAAAGCGCAUAUGAUAUCUCUUUGCCAAGUUGAUGGAAAGUGGAUGUUUAAUUCGAUUGCAUUUAACACAUAACCAUGAUUGACCCGGAAAAGGCGAAAUAUCUUAAGUGUUAUCGGACUCUCCCACCACAUCGCAAAGGGCAAUUGAAUUGAAGCAUGGAUGUUGGAAUCAAAUUAAACCCCAUUUAUUAGGGCAUGUUUGAUUGGGAAGGGGGCCCGUAAUCAUGUGACGUGGAUAGAAAGGAUGCCUUAAUCACAAUGAUAAAGUUAGGCGUUCAGAGCUCACGGAAGGGGCUGCGCAGGCAAUGCAUAGUUUACUUUGUUAGGAUGCCAAGACACGGUAACUUCUUUUAUGCCAUCGAAUUUGAUAAAGAUCAUCCAAUAAAUAAAAUUUAUUAUUAAUAAAUCCUUUUUGGGCGCGAUGCUAGGAGUCGAGGUUAUACCAAGAAUUUGGUCGAUGUGGUUACAUUUACACCACUUAUCUUGUUUAACACUUCGAUAUUCCUUUCGCACCAUUUUGUAGGGGUCACCCUCAUGGACAGUCAUUGUUUGGUUGGUUUGGUAACACGGAGGACACACUUCAAUUUGU